rfam:Daedalea quercina L-15889 unplaced genomic scaffold DAEQTscaffold_24, whole genome shotgun sequence.
GGCGCUAUAGCCAAGUGGUUACGGCGACAGAUUAGAACCGAGUAGUUACAAGUAACUCAAUCAUCUUGAUCUGUUCCUCUUUGAGGGCGCAGGUUCGAAUCCUGCUGGCGUCG